rnacentral:misc_RNA from 1 species
AUCACACCUCCAUUAGCAAUAGUAACAUCGCCUAACAGCUUGCUCAGUUCCUCAUCGUUCCUCACAGCUAGCUGGAUGUGGCGCGGAACAAUUCUGGUCUUCUUAUUGUCUCUAGCUGCAUUUCCAGCUAAUUCAAGCACCUCAGCAGCGAGGUACUCGAGAACGGCAGCGAGAUAGACAGGGGCGCCGGCACCAACACGCUCGGC